GAUGAACGCUGGCGGCGUGCCUAAUACAUGCAAGUCGAGCGAACGGACGAGAAGCUUGCUUCUCUGAUGUUAGCGGCGGACGGGUGAGUAACACGUGGAUAACCUACCUAUAAGACUGGGAUAACUUCGGGAAACCGGAGCUAAUACCGGAUAAUAUUUUGAACCGCAUGGUUCAAAAGUGAAAGACGGUCUUGCUGUCACUUAUAGAUGGAUCCGCGCUGCAUUAGCUAGUUGGUAAGGUAACGGCUUACCAAGGCAACGAUGCAUAGCCGACCUGAGAGGGUGAUCGGCCACACUGGAAUUGAGACACGGUCCAGACUCCUACGGGAGGCAGCAGUAGGGAAUCUUCCGCAAUGGGCGAAAGCCUGACGGAGCAACGCCGCGUGAGUGAUGAAGGUCUUCGGAUCGUAAAACUCUGUUAUUAGGGAAGAACAUAUGUGUAAGUAACUGUGCACAUCUUGACGGUACCCAAUCAGAAAGCCACGGCUAACUACGUG
rnacentral:rRNA from 1 species